ensembl:lncRNA uncharacterized LOC114593382
UCAAAGAGAACUUUGUUGCUAAGGAUAAAGUAAUCUCAAAUGCCAUGUUCACCCUUAUCUCACACCCUUAUCUAGAGAGCUACUUCAAAGACAAUGAAACCUGUCCCAUUAGGGUAGCCUUCUUAGCUUCCCACCUGCAUAUAUAGGCACAAACUCUGUGAAGGCAACACCAUUGCUCAUUCAUCCUUGCAACUCUUUUCAGUGGCACACAACAAAUCUUAGAAGAACCAUGAAGUUCAUCUGUCUUUUCUUUGCUGUGGUCUUCCUUGGUAGAGCCCAGGCUGAUGAAGCCGAUGUGGAUCAAGGGGAAGAGCAAGACUUGAGUGGUCCUCAGGACCAAAACCCAGCUUUGCCAGCUGGUUAUGAUGAAGCUUUGAAGAAUGAAGAAGUUCCCCUCCCAAGUAAUCCCAUCGUAUGCAAUUCUAUGGGGGGGAGAUGCCGUCACAAGUGUGGUCUCUCUGAGAAGUAUGUUGGACGAUGCUUUGCAACUAUGUCCUGCUGUGUGCGUUUUCAGUAGAGAGCAUGCGCGAGAAAGAGGCAAGAAAGACCAACAGCGUAUGAUCGGAAGAGAGGAAGAAACCGAUCGAGAUGAAUUAAUGCUAAAUCAUUCCUUUUCAAUUAAAAUUGAGUUUGCAUCCAAUCAUUCUUACUCCAGGGACUCAAUUACUCCUAGUUAUCACUAGCGCUGAACUACCACUGCUGUUGUAACUACUACUACAAACUCUCCCUGUGCCCCGAGUUAUCCGAAAAAGUCUCAAUUUUCUUGAUUUCUUGAUUUGAUUUUAUUUAUUUUAUUUCUAUGCAACUGUUCAUCCACAUGAAUCUCAAAGCAGCUUUGAAAGAGCAAAUAACAAUAACAGAACAGAACAUCACAAAUCAUAUAGAAUGAUGAACAAAUCAGUAAAACACUAUUAACAAAACAACAACAACAAAAAGCAAAGCAGCAUAAUCACAACAGAAGUCAUAUUAUGGGAUUCACGAAGUACUACAGCAUUCACAAUCUAUAAAACAAUCUUAACAGCAUUAACAAAAUAGCAAACAAAAAAAUAAACUAAGCCCUGUUGAAUUCAUACACAAACUCUUCUCAAAUCUCAUGAUUUCAGCUCAUUAAAAUACACAUCGACAUCUUGCCCAUGGCAGGAACUCCUUUCUGAAGGUUUAUUGGGUUGGAUGUGGGGCAGCACAGGGGCCUCUCCUCCCUCCCAGUUCUUUCUCUGGAAACAGUUCCCUUAUGAAGGCUCCUAGGAGUGGGUGCUGUUGACAGUUCCUGGCUAUCUGCCCAGGAAAGCAGAAAUGCAGAGAGAAAGAGCUUUUUAGACACAGGGAAAACAAUCUUACGAUCAAGCCAACAUUGCUUGGAAUAACGCACCACCGGCUCCCUGGCUGUUACUUCCUAGCAAUUAGACCCCUCCUGCUGCUUACGGUGGCUGCUAAGGGCAAACCGUCUUUGGGCUCCUUGUUUUGCGACAUGCAGAGCAUUCCUAGUUCUUAGGGAAGGACGGGGGCUCUGGCAAACUCUCCAGAGACGGCGAGUCACUUGGCUGCUGCACAGAUCGGACUCCUACCUCUGUGCACUGCUCCUGUCCUUCAUCACCCAUUAUUUCCCAACUCCUUCCUCUCUCCUGUCUCAAACCACCAGUCCAAAACAUUACUGUCUCCCCCUUUGCCCUCACUGUAAUGCUUCUGCGGUCUCCGCCUCUUCUCACCAGCAGUCCAGUCCCUGACAGGUGGAGGAUGAGGCAAGGCAGGUGGAAACAGAUAUUGCCUGACAAACAGCACCAAGUCCCCCCCCUCACAGUACUUGCUCUUGUUAUUAUCCCAAGGAAAAGGGGCACCCCAAAUUCUCUUCUAGGG